ACAUAACAUGGGUAAGCACAUGUGCAUUUAUCUAAAUCUUCCCAAUUUAAAUGUGCUGUUUAUCUUUCUUGCUUUAUGCUGUGUUUGUGCUUCAAUUCUUUUCAUGUUCUCUGGUUCUCCAUUCUGAUUAUUUGUUUCUUUAAGGAAGACUUCUGAUAUGAUUCCAGCAAGAAAGAAUUCAAAAGUUGAUUUGGCUGAAUAAAAAUAGUCAAUUGCAAAACCAGAGGAAUCAUUCGAGUAAAAGAACAACACAAUUUUAGAGCUAGCCACUACUUAGCUGAGUCAAACUAGUGGUUACACAUAUUUUGAGGGAUUUUAAUGGAUAAAAGGUCAAUUUGCUCCCUGAUCUUGGCAGCCAUGUGCCAUCAAAAACCCAAAACGCAAAAGUUGGGUCAAUUUGCUCCAAAUUCUGGUAUUUACACAACACGCAUUGCAAAACAAUUAAAAAAAAUAUUUUAGCAUUUUACAAUUUGCUAUCUAAAGUUUAUGAAAAAUCUACAAAUUCCUCUCUCUCACGGUUUCUCUAUUUUUUCUCCAUUACCCAUCCCAUCAAAACUGAAGACAAAACUCACUUGAAAAUUAAAAUAAAAAAAUACUAUUAAUUUAUUUUUGUCUCUAUCAAUAUCAUCUUGAAAUUAAAAAUCAAAUGUUCAAUAAAUGCACCAAAUAUUCAAUAAUUCCGACAAUGAAAACAUUUUUCUAAAAAUAUUCUUUUAAUGUGUUUUCUAAUUCUUCAAAAAAAAAAAAAA
rnacentral:misc_RNA from 1 species